CGAAUCGAUUGAGAACCCUUAGGAUACAGUGGUAAUGAAACAACUUCUCUUGGCCAUCUGCUGUAACAGAAUUAUUUUUAAUGGAAAAAAAGUUGGAGAGUGAAGAAAAAGCAACCAAAGCCCAGCAUACAUGGAAACUCCAGGACUGUUGGGAAAGUAUCCCAUGAUGCACCUCAUGAUGUUAUCAAGGCUCUGUGCUCAGCAUGUCUCUGAAACGGCUGGAUGUACCGGGCAACAUCUUUCCCCAUCAGGCAUUCCCGCUGAUCGGCCCCACAGGCGUACACAGAUGAACCCAUCUGAGAUGUGUUUUCACCAGCCUCUGCUACGCAGGGAAGCAUAUUUAUCAUACAUGUUUGUUAGGGCUUAGGGUUUAGGGUGUAAAUAUUCAUGAUCUACAGUAUCAGACUGUUGCCUGAGAGCAAUGCACCAUCAGGGAGGUCAAAUGGAUUCUGCUAUAAGUGGAGUUUGCCGUUGUUUGUGCCACGCAGCAUUGUGAGGAGUGUUUUGGGUCCAAGUUAAGCUCAAUCAACAACAUUUCUG
ensembl:lncRNA